rnacentral:snoRNA from 1 species
UAACCAUGCUGAGGACAUCUUCUAAGUAACUCUUUGAAUCUCUCCCAAGCCUCAUAAAAUAGUUCAAACUAAAAGUAAGUUUGUUUGAAUUACCCAAUAUCACUCCUCAAUUG